CCUACGGGAGGCAGCAGUGGGGAAUAUUGCACAAUGGGGGAAACCCUGAUGCAGCGACGCCGCGUGAGCGAGGAAGUAUUUCGGUAUGUAAAGCUCUGUCAGCAGGGAAGAAGAAUGACGGUACCUGAAGAAGAAGCACCGGCUAAAUACGUGCCAGCAGCCGCGGUAAUACGUAUGGUGCAAGCGUUAUCCGGAUUUACUGGGUGUAAAGGGAGCGCAGGCGGUUCUGCAAGUCUGAUGUGAAAGCCCGGGGCUCAACCGCGGGACUGCAUUGGAAACUGCGGGACUGGAGUGUCGGAGGGGUAAGCGGAAUUCCUGGUGUAGCGGUGAAAUGCGUAGAUAUCAGGAGGAACACCGGUGGCGAAGGCGGCUUACUGGACGAUGACUGACGCUGAGGCUCGAAAGCGUGGGGAGCAAACAGGAUUAGAUACCCGGGUAGUC
rnacentral:rRNA from 1 species